ACAACUUUCAGAGCUUUUCUUAACUAUGCUACUUUCUCUGGCGAUGCUUGAUGACCAGGAGGGUUUACCUAUAUACGAUAACUUAUGCCUCCAUGUUAAUAUACGCAUAUAUAGGAAGGCAGCUCACCUAUGACGAUCUUGCACUGAUGGAGUUAAUUUAUCCUGAGGCCGUUCAGAAUGAUAAAAUCUAUCUAUACAAUCCUGAUACUCUCUGCAUGGACCCACACUACAUUGCGUUAUGACGUUGUGGCUGGGCACACUGAAUGCUCUGAUAUUGUAGCUCUUUCUAGGGAAUUUGACUCUAGGCUAUUCAAGCACUUCGAUUAUUACGGAGAGGAUAUUGAUGUGCCUGGGGCUGUACUUCCGUACCCUUUUAACACAAGACAGAACACAGUUAUUCGAAUGAAUUCUAAAGUGCACUCAUCAAAUGAGGAACUACGAGAUAUUUGUCAACCCUUCCCAGAAGAAGUAAGUGGCUAGUACCCUCUAUAACAGGUUACUUUAAUUCUCUACCAAUUAGGUCAUAACUGUAUCAGGAUCGUGAUAAUCGAGAUUAUAUAUGGUCACAUAUUAUGCUUACAUGUCAUGAUCAAUAGGUUUGUGAUUUGCCUAACCCUGAACUUUCGAAGCUGUAUAACAAAUGGAAGAUCACAGAUUCUCCAGAUCUUUUUUCCGUAGACUCGUUAAGGAAGGAACUACCAAGUCUCGAUGAAUUAAGCUGAGCUACUUAAUGCAUUCCAUAUGCGUCCAUCUUUUGUGAAUCAGUUUGUCAGACAAGGAUAAAGAAUCUUCAAAGAUGGAACUCUUAUACCGUCUCUUGUUUUACCAUCCCCACUAAUUAGAUCUGAUACAACCGUUGAUGAAGGACCUCCUUUUGGCACUGAACAUAACAAGCUUAAUAGCAUGUUUAGUCAGAAUUCAAUGAAAAGCAAUUUGCUUGCCAAGAGGUUCUCGGAUAUCUCAAUUACUGAUGAUGAAGGUGUAUUACUUGCGGGGGAAUCCAGUACUUUCGCCGCUGGUCCUUCUUCAAAGACUUCUUUUUAGCUUUCUGUCAUCAGCAAAGGUUUAGAACUCAAGUCCAUCUCUGAAAAGCUUACGUGAUUGUGCAACCAAGAUGCUCAAGGUUACUACAACUGGUUUCUGGGUUUUAUCUACAAGUUAUCAUGUGUGGCUUUGAAUUGCUUUUAAGAGAGCUUCUAGGAAACUUUUAUGCAACAAUGCUAUGAAGUUUGGUAGUCUAUUUUGUUUCUAGUAAUUCUUGCAUAAUUAUUAAUGAGUUU